CCCUAACAACACACAACAUUCCAGGAAUGGACUACCAAAGUUCUAUCAAUAUUUGAAUGUCCUGGACAUUUAGGGAACAUUCGGUGAACAUCUGAUUAAAUUAUUCGUGGAAUGUUACCAUAAGACAUUCUGUGAACAUACUACCAACGUUCCUAUAUGUUCAUUUUCAAAUUCACGGCGCAUGUAUUUGUGCAUGGUGCUUAGAGAGGGCAUCACGUGACUAAAAACGACCAAUGACCUCACUUCAGACUUCGGUGCUUCGGCCAUCUUGACUGACAUGCAUCUUGGCCUUGGCCACCUUGCCGUGCGUGAUCGUUGUUUGUUUUUAUUUGUGCUUUUUAAGAAUAUUUUUUAAUUCGGAUACUUUUAUAAUAACUUUAAUAGUAUUAUUAAUAUAGUGCAUAAAAGCAGUUGGAGUAGCAGAAGCAAUGUAGAUAAAAAAUCUGCAGGAAUAAUGUUUCAAAGCUUUCCAGAAGAUCCUGCAAAGAAGGCAUGAAGUAUUGAUCAGAUUUGUUAAUAGAGCAGUAUGUUCAAAACAUUUUUUAGAAAAAGAUAUUGACAGAACUUCACUUUCAACCGUUUGAGAGACUGUGCUGUUCCAAUAGCUUAUAUCACACAGAAUCAGCUGAGAGAAGUGGUCUACAAAAAACCAGGAAGGAAAUGGAAUAUGUGGCUAUGAAAGGCAAAAGAAAGGUUUACAAAGCAAAUGUGACACAUUUUUUUAUAGGAAUAUCAGUAAAUUACAUUAAAAAAAUGUAUGAAAAGAUUUUUUGCAAUAAAAAUGUUUAUAUUUAUCAAGGAUGCAUUAUUUGGUAUGGCCACAUAUCGUCAGUGAUGUGACAAUACCUCCUGUCUGUUUUUUCAUGAGAUUUGUAAGAUAGACUAAAAACUUGUUUGGGCCACCUCCUGUUUUCAUAUAUUUUUUGACUUGUUUUGCAGUAAAUUUAACUAUCUAUU